rnacentral:rRNA from 1 species
UACGUAGGGUGCGAGCGUUGUCCGGAAUUAUUGGGCGUAAAGAGCUCGUAGGCGGCUUGUCGCGUCGGAUGUGAAAGCCCGGGGCUUAACUCCGGGUCUGCAUUCGAUACGGGCAGGCUAGAGUUCGGUAGGGGAGAUCGGAAUUCCUGGUGUAGCGGUGAAAUGCGCAGAUAUCGGGAAGAACACCCGUGGCGAAGGCGGUUCUCUGGGACGGUACUGACGCUGAGACGCGAAAGCGUGGGGAGCAAACAGG